GACCACCUUUGUGGCGUGGCCACUGUAAACCGCAAAGUGCAGAUCAAGAAGGACCAGAGUUUUAGAUCCCCAAAUUAAGCAAAGGAAUGGAAUCCCCCCGGCCACAACCUCCGCCUGGCUUCGUCGCCGGGCCACAGCCUGCAGCGAAGUCCAAAGGCACCCAGGAGGACUCCUGCUGGAGUCCCCUCGUCCAAGUUCACUGGCAGUUGGUUGCAUCCAAAAGUUUCUCACGGGCUUAAAAAGGGAAAAUGGACAACCGUUACACAGAAGAGCCCACAAAAGCUGCAGCAACACACGAGGGGUAAAGGAGCAGCCAGAGACACAGGUUUGGAAAUCCAGUACAACGGCUCAGCCUGGAAAGCAGAAUAACAUUUAGGUAAAACAACUUACAAAACAUAAGCAGGAAAAAAAAAAAUAUCUGUGU